rnacentral:rRNA from 1 species
AGCGAACGCUGGCGGCAGGCCUAACACGUGCAAGUCGGACGAUCCUUCGGGAUAGUGGCGGACGGGUGAGUAACACGUGGGAACGUGCCCUUUGGUUCGGAAUAACUCAGGGAAACUUGAGCUAAUACCGGAUGUGCCCUUCGGGGGAAAGAUUUAUCGCCAUUGGAGCGGCCCGCGUUGGAUUAGCUAGUUGGUGGGGUAAAGGCCCACCAAGGCUACGAUCCAUAGCUGGUCUGAGAGGAUGAUCAGCCACACUGGGACUGAGACACGGCCCAGACUCCUACGGGAGGCAGCAGUGGGGAAUCUUGCGCAAUGGGCGAAAGCCUGACGCAGCCAUGCCGCGUGAAUGAUGAAGGUCUUAGGAUUGUAAAAUUCUUUCACCGGGGACGAUAAUGACGGUACCCGGAGAAGAAGCCCCGGCUAACUUCGUGCCAGCAGCCGCGGUAAAAC